AGUGAGAGGCAUAGGAUGGGACAGAAGGAGAUGCUAAACAGUGAUGCAGAAGCAGCGAAGACCUCCGCAAUCCUGCAGGGAAGCUUGGGAGCUGGUACGGCCCUGCAGAGAUGCACUGAGCCAAGCUGCCAUGUUGUAAGCUGCCCUAUGAAGGGACCCACAUGGCAAAGAAUGGAGAAUGACCCCAGCCAGCCAAGAACUCUCAGCCUACCGGCCCAUGAGGAACUGAAUCCUGCCAACAGCGAUGUGAGUGAACUUGGAAGUGGAUCCUUCUCCAGUGGCACCAUCAGGUGAGACUAUAGCCCCAGCCAACAUGGGAGUUGUUUCAGAAGAAAGGAAGUAUUAAGCCAGAUGCUUUACAGACUUUAUCUUGGACCUCAAAUUCAUUCUGUGAGAUACAUGUUGGUAUCUCCAUUGUGUAGAUAAGAAAACCAAGACUCAAAAAGGUGAAAACUUACUAAAUGUCAUAUGAUGAAUGAAUAGAAGAGAGGGGAUUUGAACUCAGGACUGAUAACACAAAAGCCCACACUCUGGUUAUUGCAGAAAUAUACUGUGUUUUUAUUUCCACGUUUCCAUCAGAACUUAAAAAUAAAAAUGGACAGUUGCUCAAUUAUCCCACUAACAAACAUAUGGCAGCAGCAAGAACUGGGACCACAGCACCAUGCUAACCAAGGCCAGGCCUUCCCUGAGUUGGUAUACACUCCCGUACAGCAGCAUCAGAAGCUGCUCAGAGCCUGCAACAUCCUCUUGAGGCAGAAUCCUCCAUGUGCAAAGUGAU
rnacentral:lncRNA from 1 species